rnacentral:rRNA from 1 species
GAUGAACGCUAGCUACAGGCUUAACACAUGCAAGUCGAGGGGCAGCGCAGUGUAGCAAUACAUGGGCGGCGACCGGCGCACGGGUGCGUAACGCGUAUCCAACCUUCCCGUUACUCAGGGAUAGCCUUCCGAAAGGGAGAUUAAUACCUGAUGGUGUUUGAAUUCCGCAUGUUAUUCAAACUAAAGAUUUAUCGGUAACGGAUGGGGAUGCGUGACAUUAGGUAGAUGGCGGGUAACGGCCCACCAUGCCUACGAUGUCUAGGGGUUCUGAGAGGAAGGUCCCCCACACUGGAACUGAGACACGGUCCAGACUCCUACGGGAGGCAGCAGUGAGGAAUAUUGGUCAAUGGGCGGGAGCCUGAACCAGCCAAGUAGCGUGAAGGAUGACUGCCCUACGGGUUGUAAACUUCUUUUGUUUGGGAAUAAAAGACGCUACGUGUAGCGUUGUGCAUGUACCUUACGAAUAAGCAUCGGCUAAUUCCGUG